rnacentral:rRNA from 1 species
UUAAGCGACCAAGCGUACACGGUGGAUGCCCUGGCAGUCAGAGGCGAUGAAGGACGUGCUAAUCUGCGAAAAGCGCCGGUAAGGUGAUAUGAACCGUUAUAACCGGCGAUGUCCGAAUGGGGAAACCCAGUGUGACUCGUCACACUAUCAUUAACUGAAUCCAUAGGUUAAUGAGGCGAACCGGGGGAACUGAAACAUCUAAGUACCCCGAGGAAAAGAAAUCAACCGAGAUUCCCCCAGUAGCGGCGAGCGAACGGGGAGGAGCCCAGAGCCUGAAUCAGCAUGUGUGUUAGUGGAAGCGUCUGGAAAGGCGCGCGAUACAGGGUGAGAGCCCCGUACACAAAAGCGCAUAUGCUGUGAGCUCGAUGAGUAGGGCGGGACACGUGGUAUCCUGUCUGAAUAUGGGGGGACCAUCCUCCAAGGCUAAAUACUCCUGACUGACCGAUAGUGAACCAGUACCGUGAGGGAAAGGCGAAAAGAACCCCGGCGAGGGGAGUGAAACAGAACCUGAAACCGUGUACGUACAAGCAGUGGGAGCCUCUCUUUAUGGGGGGUGACUGCGUACCUUUUGUAUAAUGGGUCAGCGACUUAUAUUCUGUAGCAAGGUUAACCGCAUAGGGGAGCCGAAGGGAAACCGAGUCUUAAUUGGGCGUUAAGUUGCAGGGUAUAGACCCGAAACCCGGUGAUCUAGCCAUGGGCAGGUUGAAGGUUGGGUAACACUAACUGGAGGACCGAACCGACUAAUGUUGAAAAAUUAGCGGAUGACCUGUGGCUGGGGGUGAAAGGCCAAUCAAACCGGGAGAUAGCUGGUUCUCCCCGAAAGCUAUUUAGGUAGCGCCUCGUGAAUUCAUCUCCGGGGGUAGAGCACUGUUUCGGCUAGGGGGCCAUCCCGGCUUACCAACCCGAUGCAAACUGCGAAUACCGGAGAAUGUUAUCACGGGAGACACACGGCGGGUGCUAACGUCCGUCGUGAAGAGGGAAACAACCCAGACCGCCAGCUAAGGUCCCAAAGUCAUGGUUAAGUGGGAAACGAUGUGGGAAGGCCCAGACAGCCAGGAUGUUGGCUUAGAAGCAGCCAUCAUUUAAAGAAAGCGUAAUAGCUCACUGGUCGAGUCGGCCUGCGCGGAAGAUGUAACGGGGCUAAACCAUGCACCGAAGCUGCGGCAGCGACACUUUAGUGUUGUUGGGUAGGGGAGCGUUCUGUAAGCCGUUGAAGGUGUGUCGUGAGGCAUGCUGGAGGUAUCAGAAGUGCGAAUGCUGACAUAAGUAACGAUAAAGCGGGUGAAAAGCCCGCUCGCCGGAAGACCAAGGGUUCCUGUCCAACGUUAAUCGGGGCAGGGUGAGUCGACCCCUAAGGCGAGGCCGAAAGGCGUAGUCGAUGGGAAACGGGUUAAUAUUCCCGUACUUGGUGUUACUGCGAAGGGGGGACGGAGAAGGCUAUGUUGGCCGGGCGACGGUUGUCCCGGUUUAAGCGUGUAGGUGUGUGUUCCAGGUAAAUCCGGUUCACUUUAACACUGAGGCGUGAUGACGAGGCACCACGGUGCUGAAGCAACAAAUGCCCUGCUUCCAGGAAAAGCCUCUAAGCAUCAGGUAACAUCAAAUCGUACCCCAAACCGACACAGGUGGUCAGGUAGAGAAUACCAAGGCGCUUGAGAGAACUCGGGUGAAGGAACUAGGCAAAAUGGUGCCGUAACUUCGGGAGAAGGCACGCUGACACGUAGGUGAAGUGAUUUACUCAUGGAGCUGAAGUCAGUCGAAGAUACCAGCUGGCUGCAACUGUUUAUUAAAAACACAGCACUGUGCAAACACGAAAGUGGACGUAUACGGUGUGACGCCUGCCCGGUGCCGGAAGGUUAAUUGAUGGGGUCAGCGCAAGCGAAGCUCCUGAUCGAAGCCCCGGUAAACGGCGGCCGUAACUAUAACGGUCCUAAGGUAGCGAAAUUCCUUGUCGGGUAAGUUCCGACCUGCACGAAUGGCGUAAUGAUGGCCAGGCUGUCUCCACCCGAGACUCAGUGAAAUUGAACUCGCUGUGAAGAUGCAGUGUACCCGCGGCAAGACGGAAAGACCCCGUGAACCUUUACUAUAGCUUGACACUGAACAUUGAGCCUUGAUGUGUAGGAUAGGUGGGAGGCUUUGAAGCGUGGACGCCAGUCUGCGUGGAGCCGACCUUGAAAUACCACCCUUUAAUGUUUGAUGUUCUAACGUGGACCCGUAAUCCGGGUUGCGGACAGUGUCUGGUGGGUAGUUUGACUGGGGCGGUCUCCUCCUAAAGAGUAACGGAGGAGCACGAAGGUUGGCUAAUCCUGGUCGGACAUCAGGAGGUUAGUGCAAUGGCAUAAGCCAGCUUGACUGCGAGCGUGACGGCGCGAGCAGGUGCGAAAGCAGGUCAUAGUGAUCCGGUGGUUCUGAAUGGAAGGGCCAUCGCUCAACGGAUAAAAGGUACUCCGGGGAUAACAGGCUGAUACCGCCCAAGAGUUCAUAUCGACGGCGGUGUUUGGCACCUCGAUGUCGGCUCAUCACAUCCUGGGGCUGAAGUAGGUCCCAAGGGUAUGGCUGUUCGCCAUUUAAAGUGGUACGCGAGCUGGGUUUAGAACGUCGUGAGACAGUUCGGUCCCUAUCUGCCGUGGGCGCUGGAAGACUGAGGGGGGCUGCUCCUAGUACGAGAGGACCGGAGUGGACGCAUCACUGGUGUUCGGGUUGUCAUGCCAAUGGCACUGCCCGGUAGCUAAAUGCGGAAAAGAUAAGUGCUGAAAGCAUCUAAGCACGAAACUUGCCCCGAGAUGAGUCUUCCCUGAGACUUUGAGUCUCCUGAAGGAACGUUAAAGACGAUGACGUUGAUAGGCCGGGUGUGUAAGCGCAGCGAUGCGUUGAGCUAACCGGUACUAAUGAACCGUGAGGCUUAACCUU